CUUUGUAUACAUAUCAAAUGCAUCCAGCUUAUUCUGUUAACGACACUGAGUAAAAUUUUGGAAGGAAUUGUUUAGAAUCAUCAUUAUGUAUUAAGAAGAUUUUGCGUUUCGUCCUUUGGACAACUCAGACACUCAAUCGGUCAUAGUUUGGAUCAUGCUCAACUGGUUCGAUCUAUUUUAGCAUGAUCUAUCUGUCGCGGAAUUGCUAGCGUGAUUUUAUUUGCCGAAGAUGGCCUUAUAAACGCCACCGAGGACGCUGGGCGCCGUCUUCCUCUGGCCGAUACGUACAUCGAAUACGGAACCUGUAUAUAUUGACUAAGGUGGUUAUCUGAAGCAUACCGACGCUGUUAGCAUUUCUACACCCACCUUCAAGUUAACGCUGAAGCUUGCCAAGCGAAACAGAUAUAUUGGAGUGCUGCAGGCUGAUCGUUGGGGUCGGUAACUCUGUCAGUACCCACGGAACGUUAUUCUGGGAGGGUAACCACUGCUAGACACAGGCGAUAAAUCCGUGAAGCGACGAGGGUGUGCCGUGCUUUGGACGUGUUAAGAAAGAUCGCAGGACAGACAUAUUGGGCUGUUCAAAAGGAUUAUGUAAAGGGCUUCCAACGGAAACAAGGAUUUCGGUACCACUGUGGCAUACAAUACUAUAAUAUCCAUAUGAUAACAAGCAAUCACGUGGCUAACUCAACUCUGCCCUCUGCUUCAACAUGUCUGAGCAAAUUCAAGGUCUCUGCCGCUCGACUUUUCUGGCCCUUUCUUGCUUAGCAUAAACGUUCGUGAAGACCGUCGUUCGAGCUUCUGGCUUUCAUCGUUCACAUACGCUUGACCAGGCGUGUGUAGCCCACCCUGGCAAUCCUGCGUGCACCUGUACGGAACGAGCAAUUGAGGGACCUUCAAGAUCAUUUUUAGUACCUUCCUCCAAUAGAAUCGAACCGUUUGUCUUAGGUACUAAUCAUUAAUUUCAUUAAUUAUUUCGCAGUGUCCCUCUCUAUAGCUUCAGCUGCUGCCAAGCGAGUCUAAGAGUAACUGCAUCGUGCACUCUGUGUAGUGGCUACGCAGCUAUUUCGGAUCGUGCGCGACACUAGCCUUCAAAGCUGCAGGGAAUGUUGAUCGUUUACCACGAAUUGAUUGGCACAAUGGUGCCUUGACGCAAAAUGGCGAUGGUCAUAACUUAUAGGACCGUGUGGUGAGAUUUGGCUGAAGAGGGGCGAGUGAAUACAUCGACACGGCCCAGUUAGUCCACCGAUUUGUGCCGGUAGUAUUCGGCCAAUGUCAGGUGUUCCAAUGGCGUAUGGGUAAUCAUCAUAUAAUUAGUAUAUAUUUAUGUGCCAUAUAUCACAGUAUAUAUUCAUCGUCGAUCGAAAUGAUGAUUACCGCCAGAUUACCGACCACGAGAUAAUUACUGACUAGAUCAUAGAGCGGUGCCAUUAAAACAUUGGCCAAGAUGAAUCAGUUGAUCGCAAGGACUAGUAAAAAGGUUGGUGAUUAUCGAGCAUUUAAGAAGGUAACGUAUCGUUCUUAAUUGUCGUUAAAGAAGAUGCUGCCAUAAUGAGGACUAUGGAGAACUUUAACAUUGCUAAACGUAUUUGUCAAAGCACUGCAAUACUCUAGAGUAUGAGUAUAUAUAUAUAUAUAUAUAUAUAUAUGAGCGUCAUCUUCUUAAACCCAUUUCAAUGUUAAAUGCACGGUAUGAUGAUAAAAUGAAAACAUUAUAUCUUCACUCUGCAGGUUUCAACUUGCAGCGUAUAGAUUGUUGGUUGUUAUGGCCCAUACUAACAAAAUUAUUGAUAACAUGAUAGUGUUCAGUAAAAAUUAUAGUCGACUUAUUG